UUGGAGGUCAGAGGACAGCGAGAUUCUCGCCCUGAGCAACGGCCUGACGUCGGCGGAGGGAAGCAGGCGCAGGCUCCGUGAGGAGGCAAGAUCUCAGGGAGUUGAUGACCUUGUUUUCAGAAGGUGACUCAGGUCAACACAGGGGCCCCCAUCUGGUCGACAGAUGCAGUGGUUCUAGGAUCUGCCAAGCAUCCAGGUGGAGAGCCUGAGGUUCUGAGGGGGACAGGCUGACAAGUAGGACCCGAGGCACUGGAGGAGCAUUGAAGGAGAAGAUCUGCCUGUGGGUCUUCAUUGCCCAGCUCCUGCCCG
rnacentral:misc_RNA from 1 species